CUGUGAAGCUCUGGAUAACUGUGAAAAAGCUAUAAAAAUAGCGAACGACGCAAAAUGGGAAUGGCAUGGGGUAUGCUACCCCGGAAAAGUUUGAAGUUUUGUUGCUCCAGAACGUCAUUUUUGGCAUUCAAGAAGUGGAGGAAGGUUUUUCCAACUUUUAAACCUUUUCCAAAUAGAGCAAUUCCUUGUUUUUGGUGUUUUUAAGCCUAAAGCGUUUAGCGUGAACCGCACCGUUAUUUAAAACUGUUGCUAUCUGGUGGCACAACUGCCUGAUUUUUAGAAAGUAGCUAACUAUCAUUAAUAAAAUGCUAAUAUACUAACUCCAACGGUUUGUGCAACCAGAAAACUGCGGAUUGAGUAGGAUUCAAUUACAUGACAAAUACAAGUAAAACGAGCGAAGGCCCUUCGUCGGGAAGUUAGUAACAUGGAUUGGAAAAAUACAUGCCCUUUUAUAUACUAGUGAAUUUAAUUUAAAAGCGAUAACGUGACAAAAGAUAAAACAAUCAGAUGGAUUUGGUCAAAAUAAAGUGUAGCCAAAAAAUGUAAAUCACAUUACAGAAUAUAUUAUACUAUUAAGGAAAAGGAAAGAAAGCAACGGAAUAGUUAAAAAAAUGGAAAUAAGGAAACUAGUAAGAAAUAAAGUGAUUGAAGUUAGGCAAGGACAGAUACAGUAUACCCAAACAUAAGACAAAUGUUCAUAUAUACCACAGGGGUGGACAUUACUUAGCUUGGAAAUGAGGACAGGCGCAUUUCGUGAUUUUUUGCGGCUAUCAUUGCUAACAGAAAUAGGACGGCGCGCGGGCUCGAAUUCUCAUGUCGGAAACACUGAUUGCCACUAUUAAAAUGUCUGGUAACAGACUGGUU